CACACGGAUGCGGAAACCGAGACGGGCUGGAUGGAAAACUCUUUCCAGACAGACUCCGGGGCCCUCAACUGGUCUCCGACCUUCCCCUGCAACCUGCGACACCUGCCAUUUUCCCAUCUUAGGCUCCAGAAGCAGAAUCAAGUGGGAUGUCUUGGAAGAAAAACAAACAAAAGGCCCACUAGGUGGAGUGAAAUGGAUCAGGAGCAAUUAUGUUCAAUUUCACCUUUAAGUUUUCUCAAAAGGAGGAGCAUUAAGAAUCAGCCACCUUAGUACAUACUUAAAGAAUUAUCCUCAGACUUUCCAGUUUUAAUCUUCUAGAUUUACUGAAACCUGAUCCUGUCCCCGCUGAUGAAACAUCAGAGGAAUGGGAUCCUGUAGGUGAAGAUCAUCAGCUUAUAAAAUCCUGUUGCCAUCAAUGGGGGUAGCAGGAAAAUGAUGAAGAUUGGUUAAGGGGCCAGUGGACUCAGCAUUGAAAUGAAUCAUGGACUUGAAGCCAAAAGACUCAGUUUGUGUCCCAGCUCUCUCAAGCAAAGCCCCCAAGUCCCAGUUUCCUCAUCUAUAAAAAAUAAUAAAAAUACUUAAUGGACAAAGUUGUGUGGGAAUCAAAUGAGAUAAAGUAUGCGCUGCAUAUGCCCUAAAGUCUUAUUUAAAUAAAGGCAUUCUUUUCAUCUGAGAAAUUGAAGAAAAAGAUGCCCUGAACAAGAAAGACAGGAGAAAAGAUUUUUUUUUUUUUUAAUGAAGGAUAAAAUGAUGAAAUCCCCCCAGGAGAAGAUAGUCAUUGGACAAAAGGUGGGUCAUUCUCACGUUGACCAAGUUUCUGUUCCAGUAUCACCCUCCCAGUCCACAGGUCGAGAGGAACCAUACUUGAAGAAACAUACCUGAAGGGUUUCAUCCAUAUGUGGGCCUGAUUUGGAUGAUAAAAUCCUGCAUCUUGAGCCUGAUCUUGAUGCUGCCUGUGUUCUGAUGCCAUCAGGAGUUGAGAGUCUAGGGGUUUUAGAAAGGGUGAAUGUAUUUUCCCAUAGGCAAGGAACAUAAUCAAUGGCCAAAAUGUGCACUGUGACAGAUUAAAGGUUGCUACAAAUUCUCUGAUACCCUUCCAUUAAGAGGUAGGGCAGAUAUUCCCUCCCCUCAAAUCUGGGUGGGCUCCAUGACUUGCUUUGAUCAACAGAAAACGGCAGCAGUGAUGCUGGGCCAGUUGUUGGAUCCAGGCCUUAAGAACCAACAACUUCCACUUAAGUUCUCUUGGAACACUGAGUCCCUGACUACCCUAAUAUCAUGUUGGAAAGGCUACAUGUAGGCACUCUAGUUGCCAGUCCCAGCCAAGACCAGCUUUUCAGCCAUCCCCAUCACUAAAUUUGUAAAUGAAGCCAUCUGGAAUCUCCAGACCAGCUCAUUUGGCAGCUGGGUAUCAUCAAGUUAUCUCUGCUGACUCCACAUGGAACAAAGGAAUCACCCAGCUGAGCCCUAUUCAAACUAUUGACCAAAAAAAUAGUGAGACAUAAUAAAAUGAUGUUUUAAG
rnacentral:lncRNA from 1 species